rnacentral:lncRNA from 1 species
UCCUUUCUCAUGGCAUCCUGCCAUACUGGCACCGAUGCAGCUUGAGAGUAGUAAAGAGGUUCAGUCUCCAGAGGAGAAGAAGAAGACCCAGAAAAAGCAGGAAGGUGGCAAACAUAAUCCUUAUGGUAAGAAGGAGGAUUGUGUUGUCUUCCAGAUUUCCUGGGAACAGCAGUUGAUGUGGAAUAAUGUAAAGCAUGAGGUGAGAUGUCAGGGUUGAAAGGAGGACUGGAAAUUGGAUAUGAGGAAAGAGAAACUGGAACAGAUAGCAGGAGUUGAGAUGUCAGGGUUGAAAGGAGGACUGGAAAUUGGAUAUGAAGAAGGAGAGACUGUAACAGAAGGUGAAGGUGGAGAGGAAGAGACUGGAAUAGAGAAAUCUGGCUUAGAAAGGGAAUGCUCAAGAGGAGGAAGAGAAUGAAAAGAAGAAGGAAAAACAGGAGGAGCAGAGGUUACAGAAGAAGCAGAUUUGAAAGGAAAAGAAGUUUCAUGAAAGAUAACAUCCCUGGACACAAAGCACUUUUUGGAACUGAGAUCAUACAGUCUAUAACCCUUUUUAGAAAAAGUAUACCCCAGGAAAACACAUGAAAUGGCCCUAGGCUUCAACUUGUCCCUUUGAGGAAUUGUGACAGUAACAUAGGCAAGGCAGCCAAAAGCCUUUAAAUGAGAGUAAGUGGGUGCCUUACCAUGCAAGAUUUCAUAAGGGGACUUACCAUGAAGGAGCCUGGAGGGUAUUCUGUUAAUAAGAUAGGUAGCAGUUAAUAUGCAAUCUCCACAGAAAGAAAUAGGUAAACCAGAUUGGAAUUUUACUCUACAGGUUUCAAGAAGAGUUCUAUGUUUUCUCUCAACAACACCAUUCUGUUGAGAUGUAUGUGGGAAGUGGUUUUCUGUAUGAUGCCAUGUUGGCUAAAAAAGGAUGCACCAGCAAUACUAGAUCCCAAUUCUAAAGCAUUGUCACUCCUAAUAGUUUGAACAUUUGCGUUAUACUGGGUCUUAUCCAUACACAGAAAAGAUUGAAGCAUGCAGAAAGCAUUUCUUUUAGACCCUAACAGAUGUGUCCAGGUUGACCUAGAAAACUCAUCAACUAUUGUGAGAAAAUAUCUAGAACCAGAAGAGGUGGGAGUGUGAUAAGGUCCCCAAGUAUCUACAUGAAUCAAUUGAAAAGGUCUAGAUGUACUAGUAGUGCUUUCAGGAAAGGGAAGCCUAGUUUACCUGGCCAUAGGACAGGUAGAACAUUGAAAAGGCUGUUUAGAAGCAAAUGGAAAAGAUAAAGCAGAAAUGUGUUUCAUGUUUGCAAAAGGUAUAUGACCCAACCUUAAAUGCCAAAUGUAAUUCAUGUCAGUGGCAACAAUAUUAUUACACAUGGAACUG